GGCUUAGAGUUUGAUCAUGGCUCAGGAUGAACGCUGGCGGCGCAUUUAAGACAUGCAAGUCGAACGAAAACUUUUCACCGAACGGAAAUGAAGAUUUAUCAGAUUUGAAGUUCACCGAGAAGUUUUAGUGGCGGACGGGUGAGUAAUACGUAGAUAAUCUGCCUUUUAGAGGGAAAUAACAAGAAGAAAUUUUUGCUAAUGUCCCAUAAGACCACGCUAUGGCAUCAUAAAGUGAUCAAAGGAGAAAUCCGCUAAAAGAUGAGUCUACGGCUGAUUAGCCAGUUGGUGGGGUAAGAGCUUACCAAAGCAAUGAUCAGUAGCCGAGCUGAGAGGCUGGCCGGCCACAUUGGGACUGAGACGCGGCCCAGACUCCUACGGGAGGCAGCAGUUGGGAAUAUUGGACAAUGGAGGAAACUCUGAUCCAGUGACGCCGCGUGAAGGAAGAAGGUCUUCGGAUUGUAAACUUAUUUUGUCAGGGAAGAAAAAAUGACUGUACCUGAAGAAAAAGCACCGGCUAACUACGUGCCAGCAGCCGCGGUAAUACGUAGGGUGCAAGCGUUAUCCGGAUUUACUGGGUGUAAAGGGCGAGUAGACGGCGUUGCAAGUCAGAUGUGAAAACCUAGAGCUUAACUUUAGGACUGCAUCUGAAACUGUAAUGCUAGAGUGCAGGAGAGGUAAGCG
rnacentral:rRNA from 1 species